rnacentral:rRNA from 1 species
CGUCUAUAUACGUAUAGCAUAUCAAUAAGCGGAGGAAAAGAAACUAACUAGGAUUCCCUCAGUAACGGCGAGUGAAGCGGGAAGAGCUCAAAUUUGAAAUCUUCAAGGUUUUACCUUGACGAAUUGUAGUUUAAAGAAGUGUUUUCUGUUGGAGUUUUGGUAAAAGUUCUUUGGAAUAGGACAUCAUAGAGGGUGAGAAUCCCGUAUUUGACCAUUAUUUCCAACUUUGUGAUACACUUUCAAAGAGUCGGAUUGUUUGGGAAUGCAGUCCAAAAUGGGUGGUAAAUUUCAUCUAAAGCUAAAUACUGGCGAGAGACCGAUAGCGAACAAGUACCGUGAGGGAAAGAUGAAAAGAACUUUGAAAAGAGAGUUAAACAGUACGUGAAAUUGUCAAAAGGGAAGCGUUUGACACCAGUGUUGUUUUCUCGAAAAUCAAUUAAAAAUGGCUGGAUUUUGUGUUGUAUUGACCUUAUAAGCUUUCUGCACUUUUUUCAUGUCUUUUUUAAUGCACUUUUCGUUUAACAUGUCAACAUCAAUUUCUUUUGUUGUAAAAGAGUCAUUGGAAGGUGGCUUUCUUUUCGGAGAAAGUGUUUAUAGCCUUUGACUUCUGCAGUCGGAGAGAUUGAGGUCUGCAGCGUAGAUCCUUCGGGGUUAGAUACAUUUGUGCUAAGUUAUAGCCUUUCAUAGACAACUUGUUGACUAUGAUCAGUCAUGUAGCUUACUCGCUUAUGCUAUUUUACCUACGCUUAGGAUGUUGAUCUGUAGUGCGUGCGC